UAGGCCUUCACAUUAUACUAUUUUAGAAAAUAAAUCUUCAAUGAUCGUAUGAAUACACAAAAGUUGAAACCAUUAAUUUACAAGCUUAUUCAAACUCCUUCCUUUCCAACAGUAUUCUGCACAGGUAAGACUUUCAAUACAUUUUCCAAGGAAUUUAAGCAACUCUUGAUAUUCAGGAUUUAUAUGCAUAUGCGUGAACAAAAAAGAGUCGUGAUAGUAAACAAACAAUUACUAAAUACGCAAUUGAUGACUAUUUCCAAAUGCUACCACAAAAGUUUUGUAUAUUAUUUGUAGUAACUAUAUUAGUAGUUAUUGUUGGCAUGAGCUGUAGGAAAUCAAAAUAGGAAAUACAAAUCAAUGUAAAUUCCUCUAAUCAAGCAAUCAAGCAUGAUACAAGGCAUCAAUUAUGUAUAGGCAAAAAUAGAUUGUAGGAUCUCCCUAUUUAUAUAUAUCCAACUCAAUGUAAUUGUUUAUACUAAAAAAUGAAGAAAAAGGCUUACCUUUGAAACAUGGUAUCAGAGCAGAAAAUCGAUCCAAGGCACCCUCUUUAUAAAAAAUCCAUAUCUUUCUUCUUGUAAACAUUCUCUCAAACACAUGGCUGACAUAGGAGUUAUCACCAACGUAGAAGAUACUCCACCCAACCAUGAGGCUCUCUUCCAAAAAACCACCCAAAAGAUGGCAGAAGCUUUAUCUAAAACCCAAAAUUCAAACCCAAACACCGAAAAUUCAACCCCAAUUGGCAUCAAACUAGAUGGAUUGAACUAUUCCCUAUGGUCCCAAGUUAUGGAGAUGCACAUCUCUAGGAAAGAUAAGUUGGGUUACGUGAAUGGUAACCUUCCACCAUCUGCAGAGACUAACCCCGGCUUUCGAAAGUGGCGAACUGACAAUGCUAUCAUAAAGGGCUGGUUAAUUAACCUUAUGGACCCAGCCUUGAUUGGAAACUUCAUUCGAUUUUCCACGGCAAAGGAGGUUUGGGAUGCUAUUGCAAUAUCUUACUUUGACAGUAGUGAUGCUUCUCAGGUCUAUGAACUUCGAUGGAGUGUUACUUGGCUGAGACAAUCUGGUGGCUCAUUGGAGAAGUACUAUACGGAGUUAUAGGGGCUAUGGCAUGAAAUUGAUUUUCGCCGCCCCAGUUCAAUGGAAUGCACCGUUGAUAUCGAACAUUACAACAAUGUGCUUUAAGAAGAUCGAGUCUACACCUUAUUGGAUGGACUUAAUGACCGCCUGGAUAGGAUUCGCAGCAGUGUAUUGUAGAUGAAAUCGUUCAUUUCCAUAGAACAGGCCUACGCCCACGUUCACAGAGAGGCGCUCUGAUAGUCGGUGAUGACCUCUACCGACGUCGACAGUUCCACCAAAGAAAUUUUGGCAGCCAAAGGAGUGAAGAAGAGACUGGCCACUAAUUCUUCCAACGGGCAGCUUUAUAUAGGCCACAGUAAUCACACAGCCCAAAGGAGAAAAUUAUUACUGAAGGGGUCAAAUGUUCCUAUUAUGGAAAUUUAAGGCACACGUGUGAGAAUUGCUUUAAACCUAAUGGAUAACCCAGCUGGUGGCAUGAGUUACAGGAAAAAAAAGAAAAAAAAAGACUUAGGAGAUACUGACGGGCGAAAGGGCAAGGUCGCUGUGGUAACCACUGAACCUCAAUUGUCUUUACUACCCAACAUUGGGUCUCCUCUAAGUGCGGGCCCUAUAUCAGAAAUAGGUAAUUCUGGUUUCAUAUUAAUUACUACCUCCAAGGAUGAAGAUAUGAGUGCUUGGCUACUCGACUUGGGAGCCACCAACCAUAUGACAUAUGAUGUGAGAGACUUUACUCAAAAGUCCAUACCUCGACGCACAAGCUUUGCAAAUGCAAAUGGGGUCAUUUCUCCAGUUACAAGAGCUGGCACAGUGUCUUUGUCUCCUACAUUACAUUUACCCCAUACAUUACUCGUGCCAUCACUGUCGCAUAAAUUACUUUCUGUUAGUCAAGUCACUGCUGAAUUAAAUUGUAUGGUAUUCAUUUAUCAUAUAUUUUGUCUUCUUCAGGAUAUUCUCACGAAUGAGAUACUUCGGCAUGGUACUAAAAGAGAGGGGUUAUACUACAUGGAAGACUUCAGUGUGGGAUGCGUACAUCACAUAUAGAGUAAUGACAAAGAACGACAGAUUUGGCUCUGGCAUCGCCGCUUAGGACAUCCUUCCUUUAGCUAUUUGAAACAUUUACUACAUGGUCUUUUCUCAAAUGUUGUGAUUUCUGAUUUCAAAUGUAAUACCUGCGUUUUGACCAAAAGUCAACGUGCCUCUUAUCCACAAAGUAUGAAUAAAAGCAAUAUUCCAUUUGCUUUAAUUUACUCUGAUGUGUGGGGUCAAUCUUCUAUCUCUGUUGGAUCUAGGGUUCAUUGGCUUGUCAUCUCCAUUGAUGAUUGUACUCGCAUUACUUGGUUGUACUUGCUAAAGCAUAAGGACGAAGUACUACAAAUGGUCAAGUCAUUUCAUGCCAUGAUUUAGACCCAAUUCUCAGCCAAGCAUCGGGUUAUAUGCUCUAACAAUGGAGGGAAAUAUGAUAAUCAGCACUUUCGUGCCUACUUUGAACAACAUGGUUUAGUUCAUGAGACGACAUGCCCUUGAACCCCUUAGCAAAACGAUAUCACUGCACGAAAAAAUUGACAUAUUCUCGAGACCGCACGUGCUUCAUUCCUUGGAGCUCAUGUUCCAAACAACUAUUAGCCAGAUGCAGUAUCCACCACUGUACAUUUACUCAAUCGAACGCCCUCCAAAAUUCUAAACUUCAGAACUCCGCUACAGGUCCUGGCAUCCUAUGUCACUAUACCCACAACACUAAUGUUCAUUUGUCGAAUAUUUGGCUGUGUGGCCUAUGUGUAUGUCCACAAAAGUCAACAGAUGAAACUAGAUCCCUAUGCCAUCCGCUAUCUCUUCUUGGGUUAUGGUAUAAAUCAGAAAGGCUACUGAUGCUAUGAUCUCUCUACCAACCGCACCUAUGUGACUAUGGAUAUCACAUUCCUAGAAACUAACACCUUCUUCUCACCACAUACCAAUUUUCCUCUUCAAGAGAAGACAAACAAUGAAGAACAAAAUUGGGUACACUUUGACUGGCCAAGUACUGAAACAGAACAAGAGCAAACGGCAUUGCAGAUUGAUAAGCCUAAAGAAGUAAUUGAUCUGUCCACGGAGUUGAAGGAUCAUUCCAAAGAUGAUGAGGCAAAUAGCAAAGGUGACCCCCCCAUUCUUCAUUACCUACAUCCCCGUCUCCUGAGAAUAUCCUUGAGGUAAGCACUUGUGACCCACCUCCAAAUAUAAAUGACUUGGGAUAAUACUGGUGGAUACAUAUUAUCUUUUAGGAAGAAUUGUGGCAAGCUACCCAAUAGAUAUUCUCCAGAAAUUGAAGAACGAAGAUCAAACUAUCCGAUAGCCAACUAUGUGUCCACCGGGAGAUUAUCAGAAUCCCUAAGGGCCUUUGUGCAUGUACUCUCCUCAGUUCACGUUCUAACAAGAAUUGAGAAAGCUUUGACAGACACAAAUUGACUCAAUCAAUAAAAGAAGAGAUGAAAGCACUAUUAUAGAAUGAUACAUGGGCUUUAGUAACAUUACCUGAAGGGAAGGAAACAAUUGGAUGCAAAUGGGUAUUCUCCAUCAAACACAAGGUGGAUGGAUCUAUCGAGAGAUACAAAGUAAGGCUGGUGGCUAAAAGAUAUACACAAACAUAUGGGGUGGACUACUAAGAUACUUUUUCGUCGAUUGCUAAAUUGAACACUAUCAGAAUAUUGUUGUCUCUUGUAGCCCAUUUUGACUGGCCACUACAUCAACUGGAUAUUAAGAAUGCAUUUCUCCAUGGAGAUCUCGAAGAAGAAGUGGUCAUGGACCUCCCUCCAGGUUACACAACGUCCACAGGCACCAAAGUGGUGUGCCAGUUGCAACGAGCAGUAUAUGGAUUAAAACAAUCAUCUUGGGCAUGGUUUGUAAGGUUCAGUCUAACAAUGAAGAAAUAUGGAUAUAAACAAAGUAACUCAGAUCAUACACUAUUCCUAAAGCGCAAAUCAGGCAAGGUAACUGCAUUGAUAGUGUAUGAAGAUGUAUGAUUAUCACAGGGGAUAAUAAAGAAGAAAU
rnacentral:lncRNA from 1 species